UACGUAGGACACAAGCGUUAUCCGGAAUUACUGGGCGUAAAGGGCGUGCAGGCGGUUGCGUAAGUUAGGCGUGAAAGACUUCGGCUAAACCGGGGGAGGUCGUCUGAUACUGCGCAACUAGAGUAUGGUAGAGGCGUGUAGAAUUCCGGGUGUAGUGGUGAAAUGCGUAGAGAUCCGGAGGAAUACCAGUGGCGAAGGCGGCACGCUGGGCCAUUACUGACGCUAAGACGCGAAAGCAUGGGUAGCGAACGGG
rnacentral:rRNA from 1 species